rnacentral:rRNA from 1 species
UACGUAGGGAGCAAGCGUUGUCCGGAAUCAUUGGGCGUAAAGCGCGCGUAGGCGGCCCGAUAAGUCCGCUGUGAAAGUCAACGGCUCAACUGUUGGAUGCCGGUGGAUACUGUCGGGCUAGAGUACGGAAGAGGCAAGUGGAACUCCUGGUGUAGCGGUGGAAUGCGCAGAUAUCAGGAGGAACACCUAUAGCGAAGGCAGCUUGCUGGGACGUUAACUGACGCUAAGGCGCGAAAGCUGUGGGGA